UACCUGGUUGUAUCCUGCAGUGAGUCAUAUGCUUGUUCAAGAUUAGUCGCAUGGCAAUGUGUAAGUAUGAACUAUUCGAUGUGAAACUUGCGAAGUGGUCAAUUAAAUCAGUUACUAGUUUGUUGAUGGUAAUACUCUCGGAUAACCGUAGUAAUUCUAGAGCUAAUACGUGCAACAACCGACUUUGAAGGAUGCUUAUUAGAUAAAAGGUGAGGCGCUUUGGCCGUUGUGAUUAUUCAUGAUAAUAGACGGAUCGAUUUGCCUUAGGGCCGCGACGAUCAUAAAUUCUGGCCUAUCAAUUCGAUGGGUAGGAUAGUGCUACAUGGUAGUAGACGGGUGACGAGAAUUAGGGUUCGAUUGCGGAGAGGGAAGGUCUGAGAAACGGUACCACAUCAAGGCAGAGCAGGCGCGCAAAUUAACCAAUACUGACGGGGAGGUAGUGAAAUAAAUAAGCCUACGGGUCGAUCGAGUUGUUAAUUGAAUGAGUAGAAUAUAAAAUCCCUAACGAGAGAUCUUUGGAGGGGCGUCGGUGCAGGCAGCCGCGGUAAUUCAGCUCGCAAUAGCGUAUAUUUAAAGUUGUUGGCAGUUAAGCUCGUAGUUGGACUUUGAGAUGGGCCGGCCGGGUCCGCCCCACGGGUGUGCAACGGUGGUCUCGUCCUUCUGCCGGGAAUUGCGCUCCGUGCCUAUAAAUUGGCGGGUCGUGCCUCCGGCGCUGUUACUUUGAGAAAUUAGAGUGCUCAAGCAAGCUUACGUCUGUAUACAUUAGCAUGGGAUAAAUUAUAGGAUUUAGGUCCUAUUACGUUGGCUUCGGGAUGGAGUUAAUGAAUAAGCAGGCGCAGUCGGGGGCAUUCGUAUUUCAUAAGUCAGAGGUGAAAUUCUUGGAUUUAUGAAGACGAAGCCAACUGGAAAGCAUUUGCCAAGGAUGUUUUAUUAAUCAAGACACGAAAGUUGGGGGCUUCGAAGACGAUAGAACCGUCUAUCUCAAACAUAUAACAUGCGAGGAUGGCGUGUUGGGGCUUUUUGGACUCCGCCACUUAUGAGAAAUAAAGUCUUGGUUGGGGGGAUAUGGUGAAGGGCUAAACUUAGGAAUUGACGAAGGGACCACAGGAGUGGAGCCUGUGGCUUAUUUGACUCAACCGGGAAACUUACAGGUGAAUAGUAAGGAUUGACGAUUGAGAGCUCUUUCGAGAUUCCUAUGGGUGGUGUCAUGGCGUUCUUAGUUGGUGGGCGAUUUGUCUGGUUAAUUGUACGAACGAGACCUCAGGGCUGCUACUAGCUUCUGCGAGGUAUUCGCUCGGAGCUUUUAGAGGGCUAGCCUUUCAGCCGGGAAGUUUGAGCAAUAUACAGGUGUGAUGCCUUAGAUUUCUAGGCGCACGCGCUACAUGAUGUAUUCAAUCGAGCCAUAUUAACCUUGGCCGACGUGGCCCGGUAAUACUUGAAAAUUUCAUGUGAUGGGAUAGAUCAUUGCAAUUGUUGGUCUUCAACGAGGAAUUCCUAGUAGCGCGAGUGCAUCAGCUCGCGUUGACUAGUCCUGCUUUGUAGCAAUGCCGUGCUCCUAACGAUUGAUAGAUCCGUGAAGUGUUCGAUCGCGCGACGUGGGCGGUUCGGUGCCGCGACGUCGCGAGAAGAGUCGACUGACUUUAUAUUUAGAGGAGGAGAAGCGUAACUAGGUUUCCGUAGGUGAACUGGAAGGAUCAUUU
rfam:Ipomoea nil DNA, scaffold: scaffold1200, cultivar: Tokyo-kokei standard.